rnacentral:snRNA from 1 species
AUCGCUUCUCGGCCUUUUGGCUAAGAUCAAGUGUAGAAACUUUAUAAUUUGAUUUAAUUCUACUUGUUGAUUCUUGUUUAAUUGGGGUUUUGUUCAAAAUGUCCUUGCCUACAUCUA